AACGAACGCUGGCGGCAUGCCUAACACAUGCAAGUCGAACGAGACCUUCGGGUCUAGUGGCGCACGGGUGCGUAACGCGUGGGAACCUGCCCUUAGGUUCGGAAUAACUCCCCGAAAGGGGUGCUAAUACCGGAUAAUGUCUUCGGACCAAAGAUUUAUCGCCUUUGGAUGGGCCCGCGUUGGAUUAGCUAGUUGGUAGGGUAAAAGCCUACCAAGGCGACGAUCCAUAGCUGGUCUGAGAGGAUGAUCAGCCACACUGGGACUGAGACACGGCCCAGACUCCUACGGGGGGAAGCAGGGGGGAAAAUUGGACAAGGGGCAAAGGCCUGACCCAGAAAUGCCGGGUGAGGGAUGAAGGCCUUAGGGUUGAAAAGCUCUUUUACCCGGGAUGAAAAUAACAGAACCGGGGAAAUAAGCUCCGGCAAACUCCGU
rnacentral:rRNA from 1 species